UACAGAGGGGGCAAGCGUUGUUCGGAAUUACUGGGCGUAAAGGGCGCGUAGGCGGCCUGCUAAGUCGAACGUGAAAUCCCUGGGCUCAACCCAGGAACUGCGUCCGAUACUGGUUGGCUUGAAUCCGGGAGAGGGAUGUGGAAUUCCAGGUGUAGCGGUGAAAUGCGUAGAUAUCAGGAAGAACACCCGUGGCUAAGGCGGCUCUCUAGUACGGUACUGACGCUGAGACGCGAAAGCGUGGGGAGCGAACAGG
rnacentral:rRNA from 1 species